rnacentral:lncRNA from 1 species
UGAGCAUCUCCUAGGAGCUAUAUGGUAUUACGCAGGAUGGUGACUUGACCAAAAGUGCCUGUGGCAUAUGUCCCUGGACCUCCUUUGUGUUCCUCAAGAGAGUGAGCACUUGUUGGAAUUUCAAUGGGCUGUUUCUUGGAGACCCUGCCCCGACACUGGACCACAUGGGUCUCAGCUUCAGUGACAGUCCACGCACUCUGCCCUCUAUCAUCCUCACAAUGACCCUGAGAUGUUGCCUGAUAUUAUUAUCCCCAUUUUACAGAUGAUGGAACCAAGGACCAGGCAGGUCAAGUGACUGGAUGAGGAUCUCCCAUGGCUGGUAUGUGCAGAGCUUGGAUUUAGAACCCUGGCCUGGACACCCUACUGCUUCCUGCCUCCUUAGUGCUGUGUGGCCCAGGAUCAGAAUGGCCCAGCUCGGACUUGGGCAUCAGAUAUUCCAGAGCUGGCGUUGGCCAGAGCUCUCGGAGCCAUAAAUAGCCUCCAUCCCCAGUGGAAUGUGCUGUGUGGAGAACUUCAAGUCUCUGCAGUCCAAGAAAAGCAUCAGCAAGCCUGUGGGGAGAGUCUGCAAGGGCCGCCCCCUGGGAGAGCACGGAGAAGGCGCAGGUCCUGCCAGGGAAGGAAAGCCAGCCUACCGUGCUCCCGUGCCUUUCUCCAAUUGGACUAAGAUCAGAGGACACCCUCAUCCCCCACCCCAGGACUUCACGGGCCACGAGGGCUGCAAUGACGAGGAGGAGAAUGUAAGAAGGUGGAAGGAAACUGAAUUAGGAGUCAGAAGACCCAGGUUCAAGUUCUGACUUUGCCAUUUAUUUACUGGCAAUGGAUCAUCCAUGACAAUGGAUUGAGUUCCUGCUCUGAGGUCUGUCUUAGGUGCUGGAGACACAGUGGUGAACACAGCAGACAAAGUCCCUGGCCUCAUGGAACUCACAGUCCAGGGGGAGAGACAGGUACUCAAAAAGUAAACUCCUGAGUUAAUUUCAGACAGCAAUCGUUGCUGGGAAGAGAAUAAGACAACAGUGCAGGCAAUGACCAGGAGGGGCUGGGCUUAGCAUGGUGUAUCAGUGGGGUGUACCCAGAGAUGGCACACUUCAAGGAGUGAGUGAAGAGCAUCUGUUUAUGGAGAAACUAUAGAGGUGUGGGCACAGGUAAGGGAAACACUGGGGUACAGCGAUGCACCCAGGAUAGCCCCAGUGGGAAGCCAGUACCUCUUCCAGCUGA